rnacentral:rRNA from 1 species
AUGCGGGACAGAUCUGACGGUUACGGGCGCCCAGAUCGUGCGGCUCUGAGUGGACCGGCCGAAAGUUGCGCCGGCGCACCGGCGCCUAUCACCGCCCUAUAUAUAUACCCACCACAGCAGAAUUAUCUUUCACAAGAUAACGAAGUCAGAGGCAAAUAUGAUGAGGAGGAUCAGCUCAUGAGGUUCAUGGAGUCCACGGCCAAGAAGAGGCAAGCUGACAGAGCCAGUAAUGCAAACGUAACCGAGGAAGAAAACGUCCCAUGGGCCGACGCCAGCAGCUUCAGCCACCUGCCCACGCGUUGCCCGAUCCCAUUGGCAGGCGCCAAGGCGGCCGACAAGAUCACCGCGCUGCCCGGCCAGCCUCCGCGAGUCAACUUCGACCAGUACGCCGGCUAUGUCACGGUGAAUAAGGAGUACGGCCGCGAGCUCUUCUACUACUUCGUCGAGGCCCCCUAUGAGGCGGCCUCGAAGCCGCUCAUCCUCUAG